rnacentral:sRNA from 1 species
GGAAUCCGGGGGGCGUCUUGCCUGCCUGCACGUGGCAGAGAGGCAGGGCUGAGCUGGAUGUGUGGUGCUGCUGGACGCCCUGUUGUGGGCCCGGGGGUGGGGAUACAGGUGGGCUCGGGCACAUGCCUGACACCCACAGCAUCAGGGAGGGCUCCCAGCAGGGUAGAGGAGCUGCUAGGCUGCCCCCUGCCAAACUACGGGAGGAUGAGCUGGGGAGUCGAGUGCUGAGGGGAAGGGAUGUCUGGGGCUGGGGUCAGUUACAGGAGGCUGUCGGUCUGAGCUGGCUCUCUAGGGUGCUGUGAUGCAGCCACCGGUCCCUCCUUGCACCUCAUGUUCCACUGGCUAACAAUAGUUCUUGUUCCCGCCACAGGAGUCCUUCUUUCACUGGGCGUUCGGUGUCACUGAGCCAGGCUGCUAUGGUGUCAUCGAUGUUGACACUGGGAAGUCGACCCUGUUUGUGCCCAGGCUUCCUGCCAGCCAUGCCACCUGGAUGGGAAAGAUCCAUUCCAAGGAGCACUUCAAGGAGAAGUAUGCCGUGGACGACGUCCAGUACGUAGAUGAGAUUGCCAGUGUCCUGACGUCACAGAAGCCCUCUGUCCUCCUCACUUUGCGUGGCGUCAACACGGACAGCGGCAGCGUCUGCAGGGAGGCCUCCUUUGACGGCAUCAGCAAGUUCGAAGUCAACAAUACCAUUCUUCACCCAGAGAUCGUUGAGUGCCGAGUGUUUAAGACGGAUAUGGAGCUGGAGGUUCUGCGCUACACCAAUAAAAUCUCCAGCGAGGCCCACCGUGAGGUAAUGAAGGCUGUAAAAGUGGGAAUGAAAGAAUAUGAGUUGGAAAGCCUCUUCGAGCACUACUGCUACUCCCGGGGUGGCAUGCGCCACAGCUCCUACACCUGCAUCUGCGGCAGUGGUGAGAACUCAGCCGUGCUACACUACGGACACGCCGGAGCUCCCAACGACCGAACGAUCCAGAAUGGGGACAUGUGCCUGUUCGACAUGGGCGGUGAGUAUUACUGCUUCGCUUCCGACAUCACCUGCUCCUUUCCCG